rnacentral:rRNA from 1 species
UACGAAGGGGGGCUAGCGUUGUUCGGAUUUACUGGGCGUAAAGGGCGCGUAGGCGGCCGCCUAAGUCAGACGUGAAAUCCCUCGGCUCAACCGGGGAACUGCGUCUGAUACUGGGUGGCUUGAAUCCGGGAGAGGGAUGCGGGAAUUCCGAGGUGUAGCGGUGAAAUGCGUAGAUAAUCUGGAGGAAUACCGGUGGCGAAGGCGGCGAGUCC